AACGAACGCUGGCGGCAUGCCUAACACAUGCAAGUCGAACGAGACCUUCGGGUCUAGUGGCGCACGGGUGCGUAACGCGUGGGAACCUGCCCUUAGGUUCGGAAUAGCUCCCCGAAAGGGGUGCUAAUACCGGAUAAUGUCUUCGGACCAAAGAUUUAUCGCCUUUGGAUGGGCCCGCGUUGGAUUAGCUAGUUGGUAGGGUAAAAGCCUACCAAGGCGACGAUCCAUAGCUGGUCUGAGAGGAUGAUCAGCCACACUGGGACUGAGACACGGCCCAGACUCCUACGGGAGGCAGCAGUGGGGAAUAUUGGACAAUGGGCGAAAGCCUGAUCCAGCAAUGCCGCGUGAGUGAUGAAGGCCUUAGGGUUGUAAAGCUCUUUUACCCGGGAUGAUAAUGACUGUACCGGGAGAAUAAGCUCCGGCUAACUCCGUG
rnacentral:rRNA from 1 species